rnacentral:rRNA from 1 species
GGCGGCAGCUACACAUGCAGUCGAGCGGCAGCGGGAGGUGCUUGCACCUCGCCGGCGAGCGGCGGACGGGUGAGUAAUGCAUAGGAAACUGCCCGGUAGUGGGGGAUAACCUGGGGAAACCCAGGCUAAUACCGCAUACGUCCUACGGGAGAAAGCAGGGGCUCUUCGGACCUUGCGCUAUCGGAUGUGCCUAUGUCGGAUUAGCUGGUUGGUGAGGUAACGGCUCACCAAGGCGACGAUCCGUAGCUGGUCUGAGAGGAUGAUCAGCCACACUGGGACUGAGACACGGCCCAGACUCCUACGGGAGGCAGCAGUGGGGAAUAUUGGACAAUGGGCGAAAGCCUGAUCCAGCCAUGCCGCGUGUGUGAAGAAGGCUUUCGGGUUGUAAAGCACUUUCAGUGGGGAAGAAGGCCUGACGGUUAAUACCCGUCAGGGACGACAUCACCCACAGAAGAAGCACCGGCUAACUCCGUGCCAGCAGCCGCGGUAAUACGGAGGGUGCGAGCGUUAAUCGGAAUUACUGGGCGUAAAGCGCGCGUAGGCGGCUUGAUAAGCCGGGUGUGAAAGCCCUGGGCUCAACCUGGGAACGGCAUCCGGAACUGUCAAGCUAGAGUGCAGGAGAGGAAGGUAGAAUUCCCGGUGUAGCGGUGAAAUGCGUAGAGAUCGGGAGGAAUACCAGUGGCGAAGGCGGCCUUCUGGACUGACACUGACGCUGAGGUGCGAAAGCGUGGGUAGCAAACAGGAUUAGAUACCCUGGUAGUCCACGCCGUAAACGAUGUCGACUAGCCGUUGGGCUCCUCGCGAGCUUAGUGGCGCAGUUAACGCGAUAAGUCGACCGCCUGGGGAGUACGGCCGCAAGGUUAAAACUCAUAUGAAUUGACGGGGGCCCGCACAAGCGGUGGAGCAUGUGGUUUAAUUCGAUGCAACGCGAAGAACCUUACCUACCCUUGACAUCCUCGGAAUCCGCCCGAAAACGGUGGAGUGCCCUUCGGGA